UAAACGUCUCAGUUCGGAUUGUAGUCUGCAACUCGACUACAUGAAGCUGGAAUCGCUAGUAAUCGCAGAUCAGAAUGCUGCGGUGAAUACGUUCCCGGGUCUUGUACACACCGCCCGUCACACCAUGGGAGUCGGAAAUGCCCGAAGCCGGUGACCCAAACCAAAAGGGAGGGAGCCGUCGAAGGCAGGUCUGAUAACUGGGGUGAAGUCGUAACAAGGUACC
rnacentral:rRNA from 1 species